CCCGCUGAACUUAAGCAUAUCAAUAAGCGGAGGAAAAGAAACUAACAAGGAUUCCCCUAGUAACGGCGAGUGAAGCGGGAAAAGCUCAAAUUUAAAAUCUGGCGGUCUUUGGCCGUCCGAGUUGUAGUCUAGAGAGGCGUCUUCCGCGUCGGACCGUGUACAAGUCCCUUGGAACAGGGCGUCAUAGAGGGUGAGAAUCCCGUCCAUGACACGGACUGCCGGUGCUUUGUGAUGCGCCUUCAAAGAGUCGAGUUGUUUGGGAAUGCAGCUCAAAAUGGGUGGUAAAUUCCAUCUAAAGCUAAAUACAGGCGAGAGACCGAUAGCGAACAAGUACCGUGAGGGAAAGAUGAAAAGCACUUUGGAAAGAGAGUUAAACAGUACGUGAAAUUGUUGAAAGGGAAACGCUUGGAGUCAGUCUCGUCCGCCAAGACUCAGCCUUGCUUUUGCAUGGUGCAUUUCUUGGUGGAUGGGCCAGCAUCGAUUUUGGUCGCUGGAUAAAGGCUUGGGGAAGGUGGCACCUUCUGGUGUGUUAUAGCCCCUUGUUGCAUACAGUGGCUGGGAUCGAGGACCGCAGCACGCCUUCAUGGUCGGGGUUUACCCACGCCACGUGCUUAGGAUGCUGGCGUAAUGGCUUUAAACGACCCGUCUUGAAACACGG
rnacentral:rRNA from 1 species